GUGGGGAAUCUUGCGCAAUGGGCGAAAGCCUGACGCAGCCAUGCCGCGUGAAUGAUGAAGGUCUUAGGAUUGUAAAAUUCUUUCACCGGGGACGAUAAUGACGGUACCCGGAGAAGAAGCUCCGGCUAACUUCGUGCCAGCAGCCGCGGUAAUACGAAGGGGGCUAGCGUUGCUCGGAAUUACUGGGCGUAAAGGGCGCGUAGGCGGACAGCUUAGUCAGAGGUGAAAUCCCAGGGCGCAACCUUGGAAUUGCCUUUGAUACUGGCUGUCUUGAGUUUGGGAGAGGUGAGUGGAACUCCGAGUGUAGAGGUGAAAUUCGUAGAUAUUCGGAAGAACACCAGUGGCGAAGGCGACUCACUGGCCCAAUACUGACGCUGAGGCGCGAAAGCGUGGGGAGCAAACAGGAUUAGAAACCCGAGUAGUCC
rnacentral:rRNA from 1 species